rnacentral:rRNA from 1 species
UGGGGAAUAUUGGACAAUGGGUGCAAGCCUGAUCCAGCAAUGCCGCGUGAGUGAUGAAGGCCUUAGGGUUGUAAAGCUCUUUCGCACGCGACGAUGAUGACGGUAGCGUGAGAAGAAGCCCCGGCUAACUUCGUGCCAGCAGCCGCGGUAAUACGAAGGGGGCUAGCGUUGUUCGGAAUUACUGGGCGUAAAGGGCGCGUAGGCGGCCUGUUAAGUUAGGAGUGAAAGCCCCGGGCUCAACCUGGGAAUUGCUCUUAAUACUGGCAGGCUUGAGUUCCGGAGAGGAUGGUGGAAUUCCCAGUGUAGAGGUGAAAUUCGUAGAUAUUGGGAAGAACACCGGUGGCGAAGGCGGCCAUCUGGACGGACACUGACGCUGAGGCGCGAAAGCGUGGGGAGCAAACA